GACGAACGCUGGCGGCGUGCUUAACACAUGCAAGUCGAACGGAAAGGCCCUGCUUUUGUGGGGUGCUCGAGUGGCGAACGGGUGAGUAACACGUGAGUAACCUGCCCUUGACUUUGGGAUAACUUCAGGAAACUGGGGCUAAUACCGGAUAGGAGCUCCUGCUGCAUGGUGGGGGUUGGAAAGUUUCGGCGGUUGGGGAUGGACUCGCGGCUUAUCCGCUUGUUGGUGGGGUAGUGGCUUACCAAGGCUUUGACGGGUAGCCGGCAUGAGAGGGUGAACGGCCACAUUGGGACUGAGAUACGGCCCAGACUCCUACGGGAGGCAGCAGUGGGGAAUAUUGCACAAUGGGCGGACGCCUGAUGCAGCAACGCCGCGUGCGGGAUGACGGCUUUCGGGUUGUAAACCGCUUUCGCCUGUGACGAAGCGUGAGUGACGGUAAUGGGUAAAGAAGCACCGGCUAACUACGUG
rnacentral:rRNA from 1 species